UACAGAGGGUGCGAGCGUUGUUCGGAAUUAUUGGGCGUAAAGGGCGCGUAGGCGGCGCCACAAGUCACUUGUGAAAACUCUGGGCUCAACUCAGAGCCUGCAAGCGAAACUGUGGUGCUGGAGUAUGGGAGAGGUGCGUGGAAUUCCCGGUGUAGCGGUGAAAUGCGUAGAUAUCGGGAGGAACAUCUGUGGCGAAAGCGGCGCACUGGACCAUAACUGACGCUGAGGCGCGAAAGCUAGGGGAGCAAACAGG
rnacentral:rRNA from 1 species